GUUGUGGCUCAGUGAUAGAGCACUCACCUAGCACAGGCAAGGCCCUGGGUUCAAUCCUCAGCACGACA
rnacentral:tRNA from 1 species